AAGCCAUGUUGGGGACAGUUUCUGAGCAGCUCGCGGAAUCUUUCCCAAGCAUCAUGAAUAGUCUCAUCUCCAAGUUAGGUAAAGUGGGAAAUUUCUGCUAUGAUUUU